UACUGACCCUAGCCUCUACCUCAAAGUGCUCAAGGCUGGGAAGUGGAGAGACCUCAAAGCGCAAGCAGUUAUAUGGUUCGGUAGUGUGGGAGUCCUGCCCAUGGGAAGACCCACCUGAAGUUCAUGUAGCAGAAGAAGCCUACAGUCUGGAUUAGGAGGAAGAACAGGAAGAUGCUGGUCCGCAGACAUGUGGAGGAUCCUGGGAGCCAGCCAGAUGGGCGGGGAGGCUUGGCUGUCAUUUUCUGAAAGGGAAGUAUGAGACCCUGCCUCAGCUUCUAACCCAGGAGAGAGGAGGGGACUUGGAAUCUUGCCUUGUGUGGUCCCUAUUUAUCUCCCUCAGGCUUGGGCCAUCUUGCCUGUCAUCUAGGGAGCAUGGAAAAGGGGGCAGUGUGCAAAGCUGCAUCUUCCAGUCUUGCAUGGGUCCAUUUGUGGAAAUAGUUCAUAAGACAUAAGUCCUGGAGUCAAUGACAGACUAAAAGCUUAAGAGACGAGAAGGAAGGAGAAGUGGAUGCUGCACACGAGGACAAGAGAAAGAACAAGGAGGAACAGGGAACCAGGGAACACUGAUGCCACCACUGAAUCUGAGUGGCCCUUGGCAUGGUCUACCCCACUUUCUUUCUGGCCAUUGAGGUGGUCUGACCAAGGUGUCUCUGGGUAGUGCUGAGUGGUGGGGUUUCCUCCUGAGCAAGAAAUGAGAUCCGUGUCCCUUUGUGCACACAUAGAUGCCUAUCAGUGGUCCUGGACAGAUGCCUCGAAGCUGCAGGAGUGCUGAGAGAAGGAUGGGAGAGACCAGACCUCAAGGAUGAGCCCCUCGUACCAUCCACCAUUCUUACCACCAGAUCCCGGAGGUCCUUCUGCAGGAGGCCGAGGGUCUGGUCCAGCUCAAAAAAGUGAUGUUUAGUGCCCACAGGCAGGUAGAAGACGUGUGCUCCUGAAGCCAUCUGGGCAGCUGCUUCCCUGGUGGUGUGGUGGGGCAUGGAAAUCAAGAAAAAUGAUCCAUUACUCUCUUUGGUUGUACCCAUGUUACCUAAUCUUUUCCCAGAAUCCCCCAGGGUCAGUACAUGGUAAAGAAUAGAGAGCAUCCACAGAGUCCUGCCUUGGGUGUUGGUGUUUUUACUCUAAAACUUCUCCCUAAAACCUGAGACAACUUUAGCUUAUACAGAGAACUCUCCAAAAGUGUCUGUCUAUGCCUUUCGUCUCUAUCCCAGAGGAAUUAACACCUUAGGCACCAAGAUGGAGGGUGUCCACCCACAGAACCCAUGAUGUGCUUGGGCUCUCCCCACCCCCAGAAUUCCAUGGGAGCUUUACAGGCAUGGGUGUGCCAGAGUGAGAUUCAGGGAGACUAGAGGCAAAAUGAGCUCAGACCACUUCCUCCAAAGAGCCUCAUCUUGGCUGUGUGCUUCCUUCAAGAACCUCUAUCAAAAUAUAUGCCCUCGAGGGCUAGGGCGAUGAUA
rnacentral:sRNA from 1 species